rnacentral:rRNA from 1 species
GUAGGGAAUCUUCCGCAAUGGACGAAAGUCUGACGGAGCAACGCCGCGUGAGUGAAGAAGGUCUUCGGAUCGUAAAGCUCUGUUGUUAGGGAAGAACAAGUAUCGGAGGAAAUGCCGGUACCUUGACGGUACCUGACGAGAAAGCCACGGCUAACUACGUGCCAGCAGCCGCGGUAAUACGUAGGUGGCAAGCGUUGUCCGGAUUUAUUGGGCGUAAAGCGCGCGCAGGCGGUCCUUUAAGUCUGAUGUGAAAUCUUGCGGCUCAACCGCAAGCGGUCAUUGGAAACUGGGGGACUUGAGUGCAGAAGAGGAAAGCGGAAUUCCACGUGUAGCGGUGAAAUGCGUAGAGAUGUGGAGGAACACCAGUGGCGAAGGCGGCUUUCUGGUCUGUAACUGACGCUGAGGCGCGAAAGCGUGGGGAGCAAACAGGA